AACCUGUGAUGACACGAUUCUGCCAAAUGAAUCUGCUGAUUAUAUCCUUAUACCGUUCCUUACAUCUGAGGUU
rnacentral:snoRNA from 1 species